CACACCCCAACAUUUUCUCACUUUUAAAGCAAAAUCUAGCAUCUUCUUCGUAAAAAACAUGGAAGUUUUUCUCUUUCCCUCACUUGAUGGUUAAAGUGCACUUUGACCUGUGUUUUAUAUGAGGAUAAAGAAAAAGUGUGGGGGCUUUGCUGUGAUCAGCUAAUCAAUCAAUACUACUACCUUUUCUAGUGAACUGUGCUAUUCUCGUGUGCCUCUUGGCAUGUUUAUCAAUUAGCAUGUACCAAGUUUACAUGUAUAUGAGACUAUAUAAACAUGAAUAUUUUCAAACAAAGCCCAGAAAAAUUAGAUUCACUCUGAAGGUACUGACCCUUUUGAGUUCCUAAACACAAGUUCAAAGCAAGCAAUACAGCAAUGGAGAGACAGAAUUCAGAGCUGUACCUGCGCAACUGUCAGAUUAUGAUGGAGAAUGAGAGGCUGCGGAAGAAAGCUCAACGUCUCAACCAGGAGAAUCAAGCUUUGUUAUCAGAGCUGAGACGGAAGUUAGCAGCAAUAAAUGCCAAGAGGAAACCUGAAUUUGAAGGUGAUAUGGGUUCGAGUUCUGCCAGUGAUCAAAUGGAAGCCAACAAACGUCAGGCACUGGAAUGAAAGUAAUUGUUGUUCCAAAUCACUUCCUCUAGGCGAUUUAGGCAGUUCAAAAUUAUGAGAAUUUUCUUGGGUUUUACCAAUGUCAGAGAAAUUACCAGCCAAUGUGCCGUCUGAAACAAUUUAUUAUAUUGUUGCGUUUGCCCCAAAAUAAUGUACUAGUUUAGUUAGAGUGCUUAGCUAAAAGGUCUACUACCCUUACAGCGCCAAGAACAAAUUAAGGAAAAGAAUUAUGCUAUCAAGGGGUUGUGAACUAAAAGGCUAAGGUUUUCACUUCACCAGUUAUCAAUCCACAUUCAACUUCCUGUAUAUGCUUGAGAAUGACUGGUAAAAUGCCUUGAAGUGCCUGUAUGCAA